UACGUAGGUGGCGAGCGUUGUCCGGAUUUACUGGGUGUAAAGGGCGUGUAGGCGGGUAGAUAAGUUGGGUGUGAAAUACUGCGGCUCAACCGCAGGGGUGCAUUCAAAACUAUCUAUCUUGAGUGCCGGAGAGGAAAGCGGAAUUCCUAGUGUAGCGGUGAAAUGCGUAGAUAUUAGGAGGAACACCAGUGGCGAAGGCGGCUUUCUGGACGGUAACUGACGCUGAGGCGCGAAAGCGUGGGGAGCAAACAGGAUUAGAUACCCCCGUAGUCCCUGA
rnacentral:rRNA from 1 species